rnacentral:rRNA from 1 species
GACGAACGCUUGCGACGUGCCUAAGAAAUGCAAGUCGAACGAGGGAGCAAUCCCUAGUGGCGAACGGUCGCGUAACACGUGGGCAACCUGCCCUAGAGUGGGGGAUAACAGCCCGAAAGGGUUGCUAAUACCGCAUGUGGAUCGCUCUGGCAUCAGAGAGGAUCCAAAGGAGUAAUUCGCUCUAGGAUGGGCCCGCGGCCUAUCAGCUUGUUGGUGGGGUAACGGCCUACCAAGGCGACGACGGGUAGCUGGUCUGAGAGGACGAUCAGCCGGAUUG